AUGGAAACCCCAGCUCAGAUUGUCUGUCUGCUUUUACUCUGGCCCCCAGAUGCCAUGGGAGACAUUGUGAUGACGCAGUCCCCAGCUUCCCUCUCUCUGUCUCCUGGUGAAAGAGCCACCUUCACCUGCAAAUCCAGUCAGAAUGUUUAUAGUAACUUAGCCUGGUAUCAGCAGAAACCUGGGCAGGCUCCCAGGCUCCUCAUCUAUGAUGCAUCCACUAGGGCCAAUGGCAUCCCAGACCGAUUCAGUGGGAGUGGAUCUGGGACAGACUACACCCUCACUAUCAACAGCUUGGAAGCUGAUGAUUUUGCAGUUUAUACCUGUCAGCAGUAUAGUAACGGGUAA